CUGGCGGCGUGCCUAAUACAUGCAAGUAGAACGCACAGUUUAUACCGUAGCUUGCUACACCAUAGACUGUGAGUUGCGAACGGGUGAGUAACGCGUAGGUAACCUGCCUGGUAGCGGGGGAUAACUAUUGGAAACGAUAGCUAAUACCGCAUAAUAUUAAUUAUUGCAUGAUAAUUGAUUAAAAGGUGCAAUUGCAUCACUACCAGAUGGACCUGCGUUGUAUUAGCUAGUAGGUGAGGUAACGGCUCACCUAGGCGACGAUACAUAGCCGACCUGAGAGGGUGAUCGGCCACACUGGGACUGAGACACGGCCCAGACUCCUACGGGAGGCAGCAGUAGGGAAUCUUCGGCAAUGGACGAAAGUCUGACCGAGCAACGCCGCGUGAGUGAAGAAGGUUUUCGGAUCGUAAAGCUCUGUUGUAAGAGAAGAACGGGUGUGAGAGUGGAAAGUUCACACUGUGACGGUAUCUUACCA
rnacentral:rRNA from 1 species